rnacentral:rRNA from 1 species
AUUGAACGCUGGCGGCAGGCCUAACACAUGCAAGUCGAACGAGUGGCGGACGGGUGAGUACUGUCUGGGAAACUGCCCGAUGGAGGGGGAUAACUACUGGAAACGGUAGCUAAUACCGCAUACCAUCGGAUGUGCCCAGAUGGGAUUAGCUUGUAGGUGAGGUAACGGCUCACCUAGGCGACGAUCCCUAGCUGGUCUGAUAGGAUGACCAGAAACUCUGGAAUUGAGCCACGGUCCAGAUGCCUACGGGAGGCAGCAGUGGGGAAUAUGGCACAAUGGGCGGAAGCCUGAUGCAGCCAUGCCGGGGGUAUGAAGAAGGCCUUCGGGUUGGAAAGUACUUUCAGCGGGAAGGCGUUACCCGCAGAAGAAGCACCGGCUAACUCCGUGCCAGCAGCCGCUGUAAUAC